GCCUGGGUGGCUCAGUCGGUUAAGCGUCCGACUUUAGCUCAGGUCAUGAUCUCAUGGUUCGUGGGUUCAAGCCCCACAUCAGGCU
rnacentral:tRNA from 1 species